GAUGAAUCAGACACCUUAUUGAUAGCAACAGCUCAUGGUCCUUCUGGAAUCAGAGUUGUUUUUUUUUACGGUGGAGGAAUGUAGUCAGAGAAAUACUGAUAAAUGUCUUGCUCGAGCUGUGUAUGCAGCUGGUUCACCGCUGAUGUUCACAGGCAAUGUGUAUUGGAAGAGAUUGCUGAAUGUUCUUCGCCCAGCACACACUCCUCCAACCAGACAUGCUUUAUCUACCGUAAUUUCCGGACUAUAAGCCGCUACUUUUUUUCCCACGCUUUGACGCGGCUAAUUUAUGGAUUUUUCCCGCUUUCACAAGAUUCAUGCCGCCAAGAAACUGAGCACCGUCACAUAAUGUGACGUAAAUCGAGCGCGCUCAAACUUCCCAUCAUUCUGAUUACGGUAGUCAUUUUGUCACCCUCAUCAUGGCAAAGACACGGAGAAAUGCAUAUGAUGCAGCUUUCAAGUUGAAGGCGAUCAAUCUGGCUGUUGGAAAAGGAAAUAGAGCUGCUGACAGCGUGGAGCAUUGUCAAAAAAUCCACUAUCAUCAACGGGUUUCGAAAGGCUGGACUGCUGCGUGUUGAAGAGGGCAGCGAUCCAACAUCGGAUGAAGCAAUUCUGAGGCUAUUCAACUCCGACACCGAAGGAGAUGACUUCAGUGGUUUCAAUGCACAGGAGGAGGAAGAUAGUGACCAAUGACUUUCUUGGUAGGCUACUGUUUACUGCUAUUUUUUUAAAAUUUUGUUACAAGCCGUGUUUAGUUUAAAGGCUGUGUAAAGUUAAUUUGUUUCAAUGUACCGGUAGGCACCUGCGCCUUAUAGACAUGUGCGGCUUAUUUAUGUACAAAAUACAUAUAUUAUUUUUCAUUCGGUGGGUGCGGUUUAUAUUCUGGUGCACUUAGUAGUCCAGAAAUUACGGUACUAAUUUGCAGAAUGCAGAGUUCAAGUGAAGGUCAAGUAAAUCAUAGAGAAAGCAGACUGUAUUACAAUCAUCUCUGAUGGGUGGUCGAAUGUUCGCGGGCAAGGAAUAAUUAACUACAUCAUCUCCACCCCGCAACCAGUAUUCUACAAGAGCACAGACACAAGGGACAACAGACACACCGGUCUCUACAUUGCAGAUGAGCUGAAGGCAGUCAUCAAUGACCUUGGACCACAGAAGGUAUUUGCACUGGUGCCAGACAAUGCUGCGAACAUUAAGGCUGCUUGCUCACAUCACACCCAUUGGCUGUGCUGCUCAUGCAUUGAAUCUGCUCCUCAAGGACAUCACGGAACUGAAAACAAUGGAUACACUCUACAAGAGAGCCAAGGAAAUGGUUAGGUAUGUGAAGGGUCAUCAAGUUAUAGCAGCAAUCUACCUUACCAAGCAAAGUGAAAAGAAUAAGAGCACCACAUUGAAGCUGCCCAGCAACACCCGUUGGGGUGGUGUUGUCAUGUUUGACAGUCUCCUGGAGGGGAGACUCUAAAAGAAGGAGUCUCUAAAAGAAAUGACCAUAUCACAGACUGCCGAUAUGGACAGCCCCAUCAAGAGGAUCCUCCUGGAUGAUGUAUUUUGGGAGAGUGGUAAGCAGCCUGAAACUCCUGUAACCUAUAGCAGUAGCCAUUGCACAGAUUGAGGGAGACAAUGCCAUCCUGUCUGAUGUUCAGACUCUGCUUGCAGAUGUAAGAGAAGAAAUCCUUACUGCUCUGCCCACUUCACUGUUGCUCCAAGCAGAGGAAACUGCAGUUCUGAAAUGCAUCAAAAAGCGUGAAGACUUCUGCCUGAAGCCCAUGUUAGACCCCAAGUAUGCUGGCAAGAGCAUCCUGUCUGGUGCAGAGAUCAACAAGGCCUAUGGUGUCAUCACUACCGUGUCUCGCCACCUUGGCCUGGAUGCUAAGUUUCUUAGCAGUCUGGCGAUGUACACUUCCAAGCAAGGGCUGUGGGAUGGAGAUGCAAUAUGGCAGUUAUGCCAACAUAUCUCAUCAGCCAUCUGGUGGAAUGGACUUUGUGGAUCUGAGGCUCUUUCCCCUGUUGCCUCCAUCAUCCUCCAAAUCCCACCAACAUCAGCCACCUCAGAGCGCAACUGGUCCUUGUCUGGGAACCCGCACACCAAAGCACGCUACAGGCUGACCAAUACAAGAGUUUAAAAAUUGGUGGGCAUCCUGGCAAAUUUGAGACUUUUAUGAGCCAUCCUCAACAAGGUUGAGCUGUGCAUCACCCAAUGAAGUGCAGCUCACUCACUGGCGAUGGCCCUUGUGUCAAAAGCCUUUCUCUCUUGUUUUAGUUUGUAAAGCAAUGCUGUUUGCUCAGUAGGCCUAUUUGGAAGUUAAUAACAUACUGUAUUUGGUAGCCUAUAGGCAGAUUAGUCUUCUCUUUUCAGCAGGAGCCAUUUGCUUUCCUGUCUGUGGUUUCCUGUCUGUGGUUUCCUGUCUGUGGUUUCCUGUCUGUGGUUUCCUGUCUGUGGUUUCCCGCGAUUGUAUUUGAAGUAUUGCGAAAGGUCUGUUUUGGCUACAUGCUGUUUGUUCACUGACAGAUUUGCUGAGUGUUCCAAACUGUAGGCUAUGCCUUGUGAUUGGGCUACACACAAUCCACAGUUAGCUAUUUUUUUUAUAAGCUAUUGAUCAAAUCAAAUUUAUUUAUGUAGCUCUUCGCACAUCAGCUUAUAUCUCAAAGUGCUGUACAGAAACCCAGCCUAAAACCCCAAACAGCAAGCAAUGCAGGUGUUGAAGCACGUUGGCUAGGAAAAACUCCCUAGACAGGCGUCCGGUGAUCCUCUGUGGCUAAAUUAUAGGCCUACACCUGGUGUAGUCUUCUGAAUGAUUUCAUUUCUUUCUGAAUAGACAGCAGUCAUUCUAUAUCUUUGGCAAAUGUAUGUCAAUUUAUCAGGCGUGCUGCGGCACCUCCAGCACCCUUCACGUGGACAGGAAGAUCUGCGCCAUACCCCAGGGUAUUAUGCUGGGGCCGCGAGAGCAGGUGUGUGUGGUACUGAGUUCACAAGGGUAGUCUUUCAUUGUAUGUUUGGGAUGUACAUGUUUUUACAGCUCAUCCCACCCCUCCCAUGGGGUGGUUAUUUUUUAAUCCCAGGUAGAAACGGUGCCUGUAAAUCCCAGUGUUGUUACAAUGUCUUACUUUGUAAGCAUGGACUUUCAAUGAUUCAUUUUAAGUCAAACUACAAAUAUGGGACAUUGACUGGAAAACCACCUGUCAGCCACAAAGUCCUUUUUAAACUACUCAUGUGACUGAUCAGGAAAACACAAGUCAGAUAAUUUAACAUAGACAUACUCAAGGUAAUACAUCUUGGUGACUCAUGAGGGCUGUGACUGCCAGGUUUUGAUGGCUGAAAGCCAUGCUCAGUUUCUAGAGAAAACGCAUACGAUUCCCCAGCCUGCAUAGGUAUGAAUCCCCUUUCAGACCAGUCUCUUGGAUUUUCGCACACUGUUGUAAAAUGUUGACUCAUUGUGAUGUCUUUCCCCGUCCAGUGGUUUUACCACAUUGCAGCCUGCCUGGCUGAGUUCCUGGAGCUGAAGGAUCAGACGCUACCUCUGGGCCUUCUCCUUCGAGCAGAAAGACAUCGACAAGAGUAUCCUGAUCCGUUGGACCAAAGGCUUUCUUUAACUGUUCAGGAGUGGAUGUGGUCAGGCUACUGAGAGAAGCCAUCCACAGCAGAGAGGACAGCGUUGAGACCAGAUUCAUCUCUGGAGGUAGAGGACUUCAGUAAGCAGCUCCAGGAGACCGUAAGAAUCCUAAGUGUGACAUCACUUUCCUCGUCUCGGAGGAUGGCAGUGGAAAAGGGCACUGACAUGGUAAUGGCGGUGGCACAGAAGCUGGCCAUAUCGCCCCGACUGUUAGAGGACAGCAGAGGAGGAUGAGGAAGAUGGAAAUGAAUAUGUUAGGUCAGAGGAGGCAUACUGGAAAGACCACUUGAAAUGCAGCACCAUAAAAAUGCCCCCCUCAAAUGCUUUUGUUGUACGGUACAUGCUAAACAGCUCACUCACUUUCUCCUACUGUAUGGAAAUUAAUGAAUUCAUUGAGGUUAACUUUUUUACAGUAGGCUAUUUUUUGUUGUUGUACAUGGUUAACUUUCAGCGAGGAAAUGCCCUUUUUCUUAAACUUCUGUGUGAAAUAUGUAUUAUGUAUAACAAAUGUUACAUUAUUUUAUACUAGAAUGAAAACUUGUAAUGGGUAAACUCUCACUGUAUUGCUAGUAUAUUUAGAGACCAGAUAUUUGAUACUUGGACAUCACUGCAGCUAUAUUUGAAUGGCAGCUUGGUAAUACAAUUAGUCUUGAAGUAAAAAUCUAUGAAUUUCAUGGUCAAGCCAAGUUCCACAGAAUGGAAAGAGACACAUGCUCACGCCCCCUGUUGGAGAAACUGUACAAAGGAACAUCAGGUCAUUAAAUCAAUGUUUUCCGCAAAGUUAUACAACUUUAGAAUAUUCAGUCACUCUUAAACAACAGACACCUUUCUGAACACGUGUUAUGUUAAUCAAAACUUACUGCAAAUAAAGAUGGCUAGCAUUUGAUAUUGAUACAA
ensembl:lncRNA